CCCAGAGGGAGGGCACUCGGGUGGGAGGAAAGUCUGGGGCACAGGUGCGGGGGACACUGGGUGUCUUAUGAGGAGAAGCAGUAAGCCAAAACAUAGAAGGUUCAGAUCAAGUAGGGUCUCAUGAGCCAAGGGAAGGAGUAAGAACUGUUUCGGGGGAACAAUGGGGAGCCAUGGAGGGAAUUUCAGUAAGGUAGCAUGACCAAAUGACAGUUGCCUUUUACUUUUUCAUUUCAUUUUAUUUUAAUGUUUAUUUAUUUUGAGAGAGAGAGAGAGAGAGACAGAGAAUGAGCAGGGGAAGGGCAGAGAGAGAGGGAGACACAGAAUCCGAAGCAGGCUCCAGGCUCUGAGCUGUCAGCACAGAGCCCGACGUGGGGCUCGAACUCACAAACUGUGAGAUCAUGACCUGAGCGAAGUUGGGCGCUCAACCGACUGAGUCACCCAGGUCAUCAUCUCACAGUUCAUGAGUUUGAGCCCCAUGUCCGGCUCUAUGCUGACAGCUCAGAGACAGGAGCCUGCUUCAGGUUCUGUGUCUCUGUGUCUCCCUCUCUCUCUGCUCCUCCCCUGCUCAUGCUCUGUGUCAAAAUUAAAUAAACAUUAAAAAAAAUU